rnacentral:rRNA from 1 species
UACGUAGGGGGCAAGCGUUGUCCGGAUUUAUUGGGCGUAAAGAGCUCGUAGGCGGCUCGGUAAGUCGGAUGUGAAACCUCCAGGCUCAACCUGGAGACGCCAUCUGAUACUGCCGUGGCUUGGGUCCGGUAGAGGAGCAGGGAAUUCCUGGUGUAGCGGUGAAAUGCGCAGAUAUCAGGAGGAACACCAGCGGCGAAGGCGCUGCUCUGGGCCGGUACUGACGCUGAGGAGCGAAAGCGUGGGGAGCGAACAGG